CAAUAGCGUAUAUUUAAGUUGUUGCAGUUAAAAAGCUCGUAGUUGGAUUUCGGUUAAGAGCGACCGGUCCGCCGUUUGGUGUGCACUGGUUGGUUUUAACUUCCUGUAGAGGACGUGCUCUGUGUUUAACGACCUGGACUCGGAGUCUACGUGGUUACUUUGAAAAAAUUAGAGUGUUCAAAGCGGGCUUACGCUUGAAUAUUUCAGCAUGGAAUAACACUAUAGGACUCCUGUCCUAUUUCGUUGGUCUCGGGACGGGAGUAAUGAUUAAGAGGAACAGUUGGGGGCAUUCGUAUUUCAUUGUCAGAGGUGAAAUUCUUGGAUUUAUGAAAGACGAACUUCUGCGAAAGCAUUUGCCAAGGAUGUUUUCAUUAA
rnacentral:rRNA from 1 species